rnacentral:tRNA from 1 species
GGUGGGGCGGCGGAGAUUGGUGAGCCGCGCCGGUCUGUAAAAUCGGUGCCUCCGGCUGUGUGGGUUCGAGUCCCACCCCCACCA